rnacentral:misc_RNA from 1 species
CAGGACUCGCAAGACUCCUACAACCCUGUGAACCUACUAUAAGCACGUUGCUUCGGCGGGUGUCUUGGCCAGGGGAUCUCCGUCCCGCGGCGCGUCAGCCAGCCGGCAGCCUACAUAAUCCUGUCUCUUUGCGUUGGCAUCUCGAGUAAAAUCAAAUAAGUUA